rnacentral:lncRNA from 1 species
AGAGCCAUCCUUCCUAGUCAGAUCCAUUUGGAGUCAGAGACCCUUCUGAGGGCGGAGGAAGUAAAACUCCAGCCGGGUGGAUAAUCACUCAGCAGCAUAAGGUGUUGCCUUCCUUGAGGCUGUUGGCCCAGGCUUGGGGGAUGGCAGCCUGCUCUGCCUUGGCGCUGUCCAGUGAUAACAGCUUUUUGGUUGAGAAGCUCUUUCUAUCAAGUGGUUUGUUUCCCUGCCUGACAGCUGCAGACAUCCCUCACGUGUAGAUUCUAUAAGAAGACCAGGACGUAGAGUAGCAUUGGAGAUAGGAGUGUGUGGGAGUGUGUGCUGGAGGGAGGUAGGAAGGAGAAAGCUCCAGUGUUCUGCACCACGGGGGGUCGGGGUGGCUACAGCUCACAAGAACCAUCUAGUUUAUGAAUAACUGGAAAGGAGAAGCUUAAAGGCUACAAAUACAAGGUGAUGCUAAACCAGGUUG